rnacentral:rRNA from 1 species
GAGCGGUGCAGGGCUUCACCGUUCUCUUGGAACUCCGGGCCGAUGGCGGGAGAUUUUCUCGAGGGAACAGUGAAGUUGCUGACGAGCGGCGGACGGCUGAGUAACGCGUGGGAACAUACCCCGAAGUGAGGGAUAACUACUCGAAAGAGUGGCUAAUACCGCAUGUGAUCUUCGGAUUAAAGCAUUUAUGCGCUUUGGGAAUGGCCUGCGUACGAUUAGAUAGUUGGUGAGGUAAAGGCUCACCAAGUCGACGAUCGUUAGAUGGUUUGAGAGGAUGAUCAUCCAGACUGGGACUGAGACACGGCCCAGACUCCUACGGGAGGCAGCAGUAGGGAAUCUUUCACAAUGGGCGAAAGCCUGAUGGAGCAACGCCGCGUGCAGGAUGAAGGCCUUCGGGUUGUAAACUGCUUUUAUAAGCGAGAAAUAUGAUGGUAACUUAUGAAUAAGGAUAGGCUAACUACGUGCCAGCAGCCGCGGUCAUACGUAGGAUCCGAGCAUUAUCCGGAGUGACUGGGUGUAAAGAGUUGCGUAGGUGGCAUAGUAAGUAGAUAGUGAAAUCUGGUGGCUCAACCAUUCAGACUAUUAUCUAAACUGCUAAGCUCGAGACCGUUAGGGGUAACUGGAAUUUCUAGUGUAGGAGUGAAAUCCGUAGAUAUUAGAAGGAACACCGAUAGCGUAGGCAGGUUACUGGGACGGUUCUGACACUAAGGCACGAAAGCGUAGGGAGCAAACGGGAUUAGAUACCCCGGUAGUCUACGCCGUAAACGAUGGAUACUAGCAGUUUUGGGUAUCGACCCCCAGAGUUGCGAAGCUAACGCGUUAAGUAUCCCACCUGUGUAGUACGAUCGCAAGAUUAAAACAUAAAGGAAUUGACGGGGACCCGCACAAGCGGUGGAGCGUGAUCUUUAAUU